rnacentral:rRNA from 1 species
CCUACGGGAGGCUGCAGCGGGGAAUAUUGCACAAUGGGCGCAAGCCUGAUGCAGCCAUGCCGCGUGUGUGAAGAAGGCUUUCGGGUUGUAAAGCACUUUCAGCGGGGAGGAAGGCGGUAAGGUUAAUAACCUUGGCGAUUGACGUUACCCGCAGAAGAAGCACCGGCUAACUCCGUGCCAGCAGCCGCGGUAAUACGGAGGGUGCAAGCGCUAAUCGGAAUUACUGGGCGUAAAGCGCACGCAGGCGGUCUGUCAAGUCGGAUGUGAAAUCCCCGGGCUCAACCUGGGAACUGCAUUCGAAACUGGCAGGCUAGAGUCUUGUAGAGGGGGGUAGAAUUCCAGGUGUAGCGGUGAAAUGCGUAGAGAUCUGGAGGAAUACCGGUGGCGAAGGCGGCCCCCUGGACAAAGACUGACGCUCAGGUGCGAAAGCGUGGGGAGCAAACAGGAUUAGAUACCCGUGUAGUC